rnacentral:misc_RNA from 1 species
GAUGAAGAACGCAGCGAAAUGCGAUAAGUAGUGUGAAUUGCAGAAUUCAGUGAAUCAUCGAAUCUUUGAACGCACAUUGCGCCCGCCAGUAUUCUGGCGGGCAUGCCUGUUCGAGCGUCAUUUCAACCAUCAAGCCCCAGGCUUGUGUUGGGGACCUGCGGCUGCCGCAGGCCCUGAAAACCAGUGGCGGGCUCGCUGUCACACCGGGCGUAGUAGAUUUUAUCUCGCUCAGGGCGUGCUGCGGGUCCCGGCCGUUAAAAGCCUUUUUUUACCCAAGGUUGACCUCGGAUCAGGUAGGAAGACCCGCUGAACUUAAGCAUAUCAAUAAGCGGAGGA